CUAUUCCAAUGCAAAUACACUAUGAGAGUUUGGCACAUGAUCAAAGAUUGGCUGGGUCUCCAUGAUGUGCAUCCUUCUGAUUGGAGUGACGCGACUUCCGUUAAACAUUGGUGGAGCCACAAUGCUACCAAGAAGACCCAAUCACGAAGACCACUUGCUUCCUUGAUGAUUCUUAUAUCUUGGGAGUUGUGGAAUGAGAGGAAUGCGUGGAUCUUUCAUAAUACUGUCGUCCCGGUUGGAGUCAUCGUCGCUAGGAUGAAAGAGGAGAUGUCGCUUUGGAGCAUGGCGGGGGCGAGGCACUUGAGUAACAUAAUGUCGAAGAGUGAUCGUUGUAAUUCGGCCAUAGGCCUUAACCUCUUAAACUUCUCUCUUAAUCAAUGA
rnacentral:rRNA from 1 species